UACGGAAAACUAGCAGUGAAUCAUGGGACAAUACAAGCAGCCUGAAUCCACAGUUGACCUGCUGUUUGUUAAGGCUUGGCUAUAGACAUUAACAUGUAAUCACUAACUCCAAUUAACAUGCCCAUCACAUGGACAAGUAGGUUACAUAAACUACUCAUCACAACCCAGUCAGGUCAGUGAUUAUAAUUUUACUUUAUAGAUGGAGAAAUUGAAGUUUGGAGAUGUAACAGCAAUUUGUAUAUUUUCUACAGGCAAAAUAGGCACUAAGCAGAUCCUGGGCCCAGGAAAAUUCUCUCUGACUGAUUGCUACCAAGUACUGCAGAGACAUCAUCUGGCUAGAACCCAAAAGGAGAAGCUGGAAUCAAUUCUAGGCCCUGUGUUCAGGGUCCAUGUGAGACAACGCUGGACAUCCCUGAUCUGUUUAGGGGUUCUUUGGAAGAAUGCUUGAGCUAUUUUUGUCAUCUAAACAUUUACCUGAGAGGAAUCAGCACACCAUUGUCUCAAUGACAAAAGGAUGUGAACAUGGCGCUCCACGUGCAAUGUGAAUGUGUGUGCUAUUUCUUGUGUUUGGAAUUAAAUGAGUGUUUUUGAUUUUAAAAAAGAAAUCCUCAAGGAGGAAUCACUUGACUCAUAUCUACUCAUAUUUCCAGGGUGAAACAGACCAUCCUUCACCUGCACAGGGCUUCAUAGUUUCAAGUUGCAUAGCCAAUUCAAUGUGUGAGAUAAAUAGACAACCUUUGCCUACAACUUCUAGUUCAA